AUUCUCAAUUUGGUUAGAGAAACGAAUAUAUAUAAGAUGUCGCAGUGGAAGUCUUUUUGUUGAUCGGACGGGUUAUGGCGCGCAAUUUCAAGAGAAGAUCUACUAAAUCGAUAUUAGUUAUAUGAAGUUGGUACUACUGUAUUUGGUACAACUUAAGUGUCAAUGGAUUUGAACAAACGACAACAUACUUAAUACUAAUAUUGGCGAUGAUGAUUCCUGGAAUACAUAUACAUAUGCACAUUCGGUCAAGGGCCGUUUGCCGUUACAGUACGGGCGAGAUGUAUGGAUCUUCGAAUCAAUUGGAUCGUCUUCACCACCACCUGGUGCCGCGAAAUGGAGAGUGGUUGUCCCUUGUCGUUAAUAUGCGGCUAUUGGCCAACACUAAUGGGACAAGGGCCACUCGACGGGUCGAUUAAUGGAUGCACCCGGAAUCACCACACACGAAUAUGUCCUUUUUGGCCGAUAAAUUAGUUUGGUAAAGAAAAAAAAAAAAGAAUCAGAUAAAUGCAGACUUACAUAUUCAUUAACGAAACGGGGCCGGGGCUGAACAACCGGACGGCCAGGAGAGAUUCGCAGCAGCACACAGCGGAUUCACUGGGUGAUCCUCGAGGUAUACUAGAUUUUCCUUUAUAUCGUGUUGAUCGAAUCGGUUUGCAUGCGGUGGUGUGCCGUUGAUGGGCGAUGUUGAAUUCCCAGACAACAAAGGAUGAAAUAACCAUGCGGUCGUCCACUCGAAACUUGUAUCACCAGGACACUACUCCCUUGGAUCCAGGAGGGUAUUAUCCGAGUGGAAAUAUGAGUAUCGUCUCAUCCACCCCCACUGGCUAAAAUGCUACGGCAUUUCCUCUACUCUCUCAUUGUAGGGCUUAAUGUCUUCAAUGUGGGCUUUAUAUCGCGUAUGAGUGUCUACGCACUCUAGCUCGCAUGAGACCGGUGACGUGAAGCGUAAAAUGCGUCGGGGCGUAGACCACCUGGGUAUGAAUUUCUGCGCCUCGUCGAAAUUGGCCAAUCCGUGCACCUUUUGCAGGACCACUUGGCCUUCGGAGAAAUGGUGUUGCUGGGGCCGUUUUGCGUUGUGAAAACGUCUGAGGCGUUCGUGUGCCUUCUCUAGGGCCUCAUUAACGUUAUCCUGUGAGGGAGGGGGUUCGACACCUACUAACUCCUGGAGGUUCCAACGCAAGCCGAGAGGGCUUUCCAUUUCCCGGUUUAGGAAUAUUGAUGCUGGGGUGUUUUGGGUGGCUUCGUGAAACUGGCUAUUGUGAGCAUGUUGGAAAUAAUGUAUGUAUUUGUCCCAUUCCCUAUGUGAUGGGGCGUAUUGCUUUAGCAAAAUGGUCAGUUUCAUUUUGAGAUCUCUGUUUACUCUUUCGGAGGCGUUAGAAGAAGGUCGAUAUGGGCUAGUGAGGAGGUGUUUUAUCCCCCAUUUUAGGCACAUGUGUUUGAAUUUAACACUCGUGAAACACCUAGCGUUGUCCGUAGAUAGAUAUUUGGGGGGUCCGUAGCGAAGCCAAAUCUUGUUCAGAGUGUCAACGGUUACUGCUGCAGUGACGCGUCUGACGGGUAUAGUCUCCAGCCACUUGCUGAAUCCGUCCAGCAUCACUAGGGUAUAUCGGAACCCAUUCCUGGAAGCCACUAGGGGGCCUACGUGGUCUAUGUAAACACGUUCCCAGGUGUGUUUAGGGACCGUUGAUGCUAAGGGUGCGCCUGAGGCGCGGUUUGAUGGUUUACAGCGUUGACACUCUGGACAGGACCUGACAUAUUUUUGGACGUCCUUAUAGAGACCCGGCCACCAAAAGCGACGGGCGAUUCGACGAUGUGUGACGCAAAUUCCACAAUGACUUGCCGUUACGGAGUCGUGGUAGAAGAACAUUAUCAUGUUUCUGAUGGCUUUGGGGACGGAAAUUCGUCUCAGGCGAUGUUUCCCCACGAGUUUCACCAGGACGUCAGAUUUGAGGGCAUAUCCUGUG